AGCGCGGAGCACGAGGAAUUCUGCGUGAAUCUGCCGGGACCAUCCGGUAAGGCUAAAUACUCCCGAGAGACCGAUAGCGAACCAGUACCGUGAGGGAAAGGUGAAAAGCACUUCGAACAGAAGAGUGAAAUAGUUCCUGAAACCGUGCGCCUACAAGCGGUCGGAGCUCGUUAAUGAGUGACGGCGUGCCUUUUGCAUAAUGAACCUACGAGUUGCCUUUGCCGGCAAGGUUAAGUGUGACGACACACGUAUCCGAAGCGAAAGCGAGUCUGAAUAGGGCGUAUAGUCGGCAGUGGCAGACGCGAAACCAAGUGAUCUACCCUUGGCCAGGUUGAAGGCUGGGUAACACCAGCUGGAGGACCGCACCAAUAAGCGUUGAAAAGCUUCUGGAUGAGCUGAGGGUAGGGGUGAAAGGCUAAUCAAACUUGGAGAUAGCUCGUACUCCCCGAAAUGCAUUUAGGUGCAGCCUUGCGGGUUACUGAUGUGAGGUAGAGCGACUGAUAAGAUGCGAGGGCUUCACCGCCUAUCAAGUCUUGACAAACUCCGAAUGCGCAUCAGUUCUACCGCAGGAGUGAGGGCAUGGGUGCUAAGGUCCGUGCCCGAGAGGAGAAGAAUCCGGACCACCUGCUAAGGUCCCGAAAUGACAGCUAAGUUAAACUAACGAAGUCUGACUGCUAAGACAGCUAGGAUGUUGGCUUGGAAGCAGCCAUUCAUUUAAAGAGUGCGUAACAGCUCACUAGUCGAGGAGUCGGGCGUGGAUAAUAAUCGGGUAUCAAGUUGUCUACCGAAGCAGUGGGAUCAUUGAUAUGAUCGGUAGGGGAGCAUUCCAGUCAGCGUCGAAGGCGUACCGUGAGGUAUUCUGGAGCGUCUGGAAAAGCAAAUGUAGGUAUAAGUAACGAUAAAGGGGGCGGGAAACCCCCUCGCCGAAAGACUAAGGUUUCCUGAUCAACGCUAAUCGGAUCAGGGUCAGUCGGGUCCUAAGGCUCAGCCGAACGGCGAUGCCGAUGGCAGAAACGGUUAAUAUUCCGUUACUACCUUCAGGAGUGACGUGGAGACGCAGUAGUGACAGUGCCGCCAUCUGACGGAAUAGAUGGUUGAAGGGUGUAGGAGUCGAUCAUGGCAGGCAAAUCCACCAUGAGAUCCGAACCUGAUAGUAUGCCGCGUCCUUCGGGACAAGGCAAUAGUGCGCGUAAGCAUGCUGCCGAGAAAAUCCGCUAAACUUAAUCCUGCAGGUACCCGUACCGCAAACGGACACACGUAGUCGGGAUGAAUAUUCUAAGGCGCUUGAGUGAUUCACGGUUAAGGAACUAGGCAAACUGACCCUGUAACUUCGGGAUAAAGGGUCCCUACCCUUUUAUGGGAGGGCGCAGAGAAUCGGUCCAGGCAACUGUUUAACAAAAACACAGGGCUGUGCCAAAUCGAAAGAUCCAGUAUACAGCCUGACACCUGCCCGGUGCUGGAAGGUUAAGAGGAGAUGUCAUCGAUGAGAGAAGCGUUGAAUUGAAGCCCCAGUAAACGGCGGCCGUAACUAUAACGGUCCUAAGGUAGCGAAAUUCCUUGUC
rnacentral:rRNA from 1 species